GAUUUGAGAAGCUGCUGCUGCUCACCUCCCCUCUCCUCCCCACAAUCGAAUCGAAUCGAAUCCUCCUCCUCCAGGCUCCAAGCCGAAACCAAACCCUAGCCCCGUCGAUCUCCCUCUCCUCGCAUGGCGGCUCCCAAGCCCAUCUGGGUGCGCCAGGCCGAGGAGGCCAAGCUCAAGUCCGAGGCCGAGACCGCCGCCGCCGCCAAGGCCGCCUUCGACGCCACCUUCAAGGCCCUCUCCGCAUCCGCCGCCGACGACCCCGACCAGGACGACGACCUCCACCGCCCCUCUUCCCCGGCCCAAGCCUCUCGGGACGCCUACUCCGACGCAGACGACGACGACGACGACCGCCCCCAUGCCCCUCCCGGUCCAGUCGACCCCUCCAAGUCCUCCGCCGCCGGCCCCGGCAUCGCUGGUGGUUCCGCUGGUGCCCCCGCCACCUUCACCGUCGUCUCCAAGGACCGGGACUCGCGCAGGGUCCCAACCGGCGGCGCGCGCGUCCGCGUCCGCGUCUCCCCGGCAGCUGGCGUCGGCGGCGACGACCUCGAAGGUGCAGUCAAGGACAACGGCGAUGGCUCCUACGCCGUCACCUACGUCGUCCCUAAGCGCGGUAACUACAUGGUCCACGUCGACCUCGACGGGUCGCCCGUCAUGGGGAGCCCCUUCCCCGUCUUCUUCAGCGCAUCCAACACUGCCGCCACCGUCGUCACCUCCACCUUCCCGCCCACGCUUCCGGCUGUCUCCUCCGCCUACCCCAACAUGGUCAACCAGACCAUGCCCAACAUGCCAAACUACGCUGGCGCCCUCUCGGCUGCCUUCCCCAGCCUUCUCGGCCUCCUCCCUGCUGCGUCUACUGGUGCCUCUGGUGGGGUUGUGCUGCCUGGUGUUGGUGCCUCGCUUGGGGAGAUUUGCCGGGAGCACAUCAACGGCAAGUGCACCAAGGCCACAGACUGUAGCAAGCUCAACCACCCGCCACAGCAGCUGCUCAUGUCCGUGCUGGCUGCCACUACAUCUGUCGGUGCGCUCAGCCAGGCGCCCAUGGCACCAUCUGCUGCUGCCAUGGCUGCUGCUCAGGCCAUCAUGGCUGCACAGGCACUGCAGGCACAUGCUGCGCAGAUGCAGGCUGAUUCCAAGGCUGCAGGAGGGGAGGCUUCAGGUUCAACAGAUAAAACUGAUAAAGGUGAUGUUCUGAAGAAAAUGGUUCAGAUUAGCAACCUAAGCCCACUUCUUACGGUGGAUCAUAUUAAGCAGCUAUUUGGAUACUGUGGCAAAGUGGUUGAUUGCACCAUCACAGACUCAAAACAUAUUGCCUAUGUAGAAUACUCCAAACAAGAAGAAGCAACUGCAGCGCUGGCACUCAACAACAUGGAUGUUGGUGGUCGCCCCUUGAAUGUUGAGAUGGCCAAAUCCCUCCCUCCCAAAACUAAUUUGGCAAAUAGCAAUCUGCCCAUGAUGAUGCAGCAAGCUGUUCAGUUGCAACAGAUGCAAUUCCAGCAGGCUCUGAUAAUGCAGCAGACAAUAGCAGCUCAACAGGCUGCUGCGCGCGCAGCCACCAUGAAAUCCGCCACUGAAGCAGCAGCUGCAAGGGCUGCUGAGAUAAGCAGGAAGUUGAAAGCGGAGGGCUUUGGUGGGGAAACUGUCGAAGAGAAGGAUGCCAGAGGGAAGUCAAGGUCGCCAUCACCUUCUGCCCGUAGAUCGAAAUCUCGGUCAAGAUCACCUAUCAAGUACCGCCGGAGCAGGCGGUCUAGAUCAUACUCUCCGCCGGUUAGACACACACGAGGGCGUAGAUCACGAUCACCAUCAAGAUCUUACCACUCAAAGUAUGGUAGUGAUCGAUCUUAUCGGGAUGAUAGAGACAAGUAUGGCAGGUCUGGGAGAAGAGAGAGCGACCGAUCUCGUGACCACUAUUCAUCUAGCUCAAGAAGAAACAGAAGUAGAAGUAUAAGUCCAAGGCAUAAGAAGUCCUCCAGAUCUGAUUCUCGGUCACCCAAGCGACACAGAGAAGAAAGUUUAAGCCCUUCGAAAUCACGGAGGUCAGCUCGAGCUGGUUCAAGGUCACCAGGACAGCACAAAGGAAGCAAAUUGUCGCCAACUCGUGACCAUCAUUCUUCUCGCCGUAGUAGGCGUUCUAGAUCCAGAUCUCAAGAGAAGAAUCGCAACAGUGAUAAAAAGGACAGCAAAAAAUCUGAGAUGGAGGAUAAAAAAAGGAGAUCUGAUAGAGGCAAUAGAGGUGACAAAGAUGAAAAGUAUCUAAAGGAUCCAAUGGAAGAUAAGAAACUAGAUGUGUCUUCUGUUGCUCAUAAAAGGAGUUCAUCCGCAUCAGAAGAUGAAAUGCUGAAUAGUAAUUCCAAGAGAUCUAAACAUGAUGCUGCUUUGGAGUGUCAUGAGAGGAAGGAUGAGGAUCAUAUUGAGGAGGACAGAAGGGAUUUGGAUUCUGUGGGAUCAAAAUCUGAGAAGAGAAGCCUAGGAAAUGGUGAUCAUGAAAAACAAAAUCAUGAUACAAAUAGGAAAACAGACAAGAGUCAUGACAGGGAUGAUUCUUCUCGUAAGGACAGAAAAUACAGAGAGGAUGAAUCAAGACAUUCUAGAGAUAGAUGUUCCCGUCAUUCAUCUUCAAGAUCCCAUAGAAGUUCAAGGCAUUCAAGGGAAAAGUAUCAUGGAGAUACCACUGAUCAGCAUAAAUCAAAGAAAUCAGAAGAGGGUUCCAAGUCUAGGAAGGAUGAUUGUCUCCUUGAUGAUACCUUGUCUUCAGAUAGAAGGAAAGUUCAGAGCGAGGACUCUCCUCGUAGGAAGCAUAACCAGUUAGCAGCUAGUUCAGAUGUUCAUGGCAUCAACCAUGAUACUGGAGUUAAGGUGCCAAAUGAUUUCUCAGAAGCUGAUCAGGGUAUCCAGGAAGCCAAGCAGGUCGUUCAUGAAACUGAUAUGUCCUCUGCACCACGCCUUGAGGACCCAUUUCUUGCACAAGACAAACAAGAUAAACCUAUUGUUGCUGGCCUUAAUGGGCUACAUGAACCUGGAGUUGAUGGUGCAUUUGUGGGCACUGAAGAGUCUGCUAUAUGAUAUUAACCAGAGUGUUUACUUGAUGGUUGCUAUAUCAUUGAGUUGGCUGAUCACAGGAUCUACUUGAUCAGUGGAUGCAGAUAGAUGAAUUGGUGUUUGUUAUCUUCCUUUCUGAUUUAGGAGUUUUAUUUGCAGGAUAUGAAGAACAUGGAGAACUUGAGUGCUGAUCGAAGUGUUCAUCUGAUCUAUAAAAAUGUACUCAUUAACUCUUCAGAUGGAGAUUUUUUCUGUGGAGUAAACUUCUAGAUGUAACGCUGGAGCUUGUGAGGUGAUUUAGUACUGUGAGGUCAAACCAACCAUAUAUUUGUCGUUGCAGGCUUGUGGUUCCAUGAAGAGUUGGAGCUCAUUCUGGGGUGUCAAUUGAAGAUACAAGGGAGGUCACACUUUUCCGUACUCAAGGUCCAUCCGAGAGGCCAAUGUAAGUGACUGGUGAGGAAAUUGUUGAUAAAGUCCGAGCAACCUUUUACCCUUGAUAGUUCCAGAGAUAAGAAGCAUAUCUUUGAAAAGUAGCAUUCCUUGUGUCUUUCUUUUGUGACUUUGAAUUUGUGUUGGUUUAGUUACUAAGCACUGCCUCUGCAAAGAGAUAUUGGUGCUUUACUUGCUGUGAUUGGUGGUGUCAUUGGAAAACCUGUGCAGGUUUUUCAUAGGCGGUCGCUGUUGGAGUAUAUCUGAGGGGAGGUUUUUCAGUUAAGUCUAAGAGCUGCCUGCCUGUAGAAGAGAGCCACAUCACUACAGCAGAGGCGGCUCUUCAUUCUUGCUAAAAGGUUUUAUGAUGAGGAAACUUGCUGCAAAGGCAUACUCGUUCAAGGGGAGGCUACCUACAAAUCCUGACCUAACCCGUACUGAUUGUAACUAUGAUCUAUAUAUUAAUAGUAAGUUAAUAUCAGAUCUACACCUUAAAAUAUAAAUUGAUAUGAUGAGUGGAGAGAACAAAGCAGCAACAUAUACUAAAUAUCGAUGACUUUGCAUGUCGACACCUUAUUGGGUCCUUUUAUAUUUGAUUGAUGAUGAUGUUUCAUCUA